rnacentral:lncRNA from 1 species
UUAAUUAUUGUUGGGCAGGCAAGGAAGUGCUUAACUGGUCGAGUGGAAAUCCUAAUUUUCAUUAGGUCAACAGGCAUGUGGGCUCCGUGACUUGCGACCCAUGGAAAAUGAGCCUUGACCAGAUUCCGGAAUCCUCGAGGGCCCAGCUGUUUAUGGCGUUAAGAUGACAUGACCUUUUGAGGCUCAUGUGCCAAACAUGUUAGAAAAUAAAAGAAAG